AGUUGAUAGUUGAAAAAAAAAACAAAACAGAAACAAAAAACCAGAGAAGCAUAGGUUUUGUGAUGUCCCAUGAGUACAGAAUUCUUUUGGAAUCACAAUGCAUGAAGUUCAGUAAGACUUAAACAAAAUGAUUCAUUUGGAUUUUGGAGGGAUUAGGAUGACACAAAUUUGGGGAUCCUGGAAAUGGGAACCAAGAGUAAGGGGAGCUGGAAUUUCUGGUUUGAGAAUCAAUUAGGAGGUUGGGGCUACAUGGAGAGAGGACUUCUAGACAGUCCUCUGAAG